GACGAACGCUGGCGGCGUGCUUAACACAUGCAAGUCGAACGGAAAGGCCCUGCUUUUGUGGGGUGCUCGAGUGGCGAACGGGUGAGUAACACGUGAGUAACCUGCCCUUUAGUUUGGGAUAACUUCAGGAAACUGGGGCUAAUACCGGAUAGGAGCUCCUGCUGCAUGGUGUGGGUUGGAAAGUUUCGGCGGUUGGGGAUGGACUCGCGGCUUCUCAGCUUGUUGGUGGGGGAGUGGCUUACCAAGGCUUUGACGGGUAGCCGGCCUGAGAGGGUGACCGGCCACAUUGGGACUGAGAUACGGCCCAGAGUGCUACGGGAGGCAGCAGUGGGGAAUAUUGCACAAUGGGCGGAAGCCGGAUGCAGCAACGCCGCGUGCGGGAUGACGGCCUUCGGGUUGUAAACCGCUUUCGCCUGUGACGAAGCGUGAGUGACGGUAAUGUGUAAAGAAGCACCGGCUAACUACGUG
rnacentral:rRNA from 1 species